CUCCGGUUGAUCCCGCCGGACCCGACUGCUAUCAGAGUGGGACUAAGCCAUGCGAGUCAACAUAGCAAUAUGUGGCAUACGGCUCAGUAACACGUAGUCAACAUGCCCAGGGGACGUGGAUAACCUCGGGAAACUGAGGAUAAACCGCGAUAGGUCAUCACUUCUGGAAUGGGUAAUGACUUAAAUCUAUAUGGCCCCUGGAUUGGACUGCGGCCGAUCAGGCUGUUGGUGAGGUAAUGGCCCACCAAACCUGUAACCGGUACGGGCUCUGAGAGGAGGAGCCCGGAGAUGGGCACUGAGACAAGGGCCCAGGCCCUAUGGGGCGCAGCAGGCGCGAAACCUCUGCAAUAGGCGAAAGCUUGACAGGGUUACUCUGAGUGAUUUCCGUUAAGGAGAUCUUUUGGCACCUCUAAAAAUGGUGCAGAAUAAGGGGUGGGCAAGUCUGGUGUCAGCCGCCGCGGUAAUACCAGCACCCCGAGUGGUCGGGACGUUUAUUGGGCCUAAAGCAUCCGUAGCCGGUUCUACAAGUCUUCCGUUAAAUCCACCUGCUUAACAGAUGGGCUGCGGAAGAUACUAUAGAGCUAGGAGGCGGGAGAGGCAAGCGGUACUCGAUGGGUAGGGGUAAAAUCCGUUGAUCCAUUGAAGACCACCAGUGGCGAAGGCGGCUUGCCAGAACGCGCUCGACGGUGAGGGAUGAAAGCUGGGGGAGCAAACCGGAUUAGAUACCCGGGUAGUCCCAGCUGUAAACGAUGCAGACUCGGUGAUGAGUUGGCUUAUUGCUAACUCAGUGCCGCAGGGAAGCCGUUAAGUUUGCAGCCUGGGGAGUACGGUCGCAAGACUGAAACUAAAGCGAAAAAGCGGGGGAGCA
rnacentral:rRNA from 1 species